rnacentral:tRNA from 1 species
GGCGGUCCCUGGCGGGCCAUGUUCUUGCCCUCCGAAGGCAAAGGUCGUACGUUCGAAUCGUAUCGGGUCCGCCA